AAGAAUUGCUAUUGAAAGGUGAACCAAAAUGAGCAACGAGCAAAAUAGGGUGUUCAGCAUUGCCAGGAUAGCCAAAAAGCACAAGUAUACAGUUACAUGCCUACACUUCUCCAAAGACCUUCAAGUAUAUCUAGAUCUCAUAUCUAAGUAAUAAAAGGGCAACGCAAAAAUAAAAAAACAAACAGCAUACAAUCAGUUGAUCGAAACCAUAAAUUGUAUCCUCAAUGAAAUAGCCUACAAAGGUUUCCAACACCCUAAGAUUGUGAAAUACACAUCUGGAUCCCAACUGAUAACCUCAUGUCCCGCUUUUGAAAUCAAUACACAAAUCACGCCGGGAAGCACUCAGUAAAUCCUUUCACCAGCAUAUAUCACUGAGGAUGCUGCAAAACUUGCUGCUGCUGUUGAGGUUGUGCGUAAUUUCCAUAUCCAGCAUAGCCCGCAUAAUACUGAUUUGGAUCCUGAGCAGGGGGGGCAUAACCAUAACCUUCAUAUCCAGCAGUAUACCCAUAAUAACCAGCAUAUUGGUUUGGAUCAAGCUGAGGCUGCUGCUUGUUUGCAGGACUUCGACCCCAUGAAAGACGGAUGCUUUGUCCACCCAGCUGAGUUCCAUUUAAUACCCGUAGAGCUUCCUCAGCACAACUU
rnacentral:misc_RNA from 1 species